AUUCGGAUUGAGUAGCCAGAAAUCUGCCACCACAACUCCAGUCUGCCACUUUCCCUUAUAUGCGAAACUCCAUUAAAUAAACUUUCUAAGCAAGAUUCAGAACAGGCACACCUAUGGGUGUCAGUGCCUAACAAUGACUUCUCUGGCUGCUUGGCCAGGUAUAGUUGCCUGGCACCUGACUAACACCGCCUGCCGCAUUGCGACGUCGAGACUACC